rnacentral:rRNA from 1 species
AGUGAACGCUGGCGGUAGGCCUAACACAUGCAAGUCGAACGGCAGCACCGUAAGAGCUUGCUCUUACGGGUGUCGAGUGUCGGACGGGUGAGUUAUACAUCGGAAUCUACUUUUUCGUGGGUGCUAACGUAGGGAAACUUACGCUAACACCGCAUACGACCUCCGUGUGAAAGCAGGGGUUCUUCUGACCUUUCGCUAUUGUAUGAGCCUAUGUCGGAUUAGCUAGUUGGCGGGUUAAAGGCCCACCUAGGCGACGAUCCGUAUCUGGUAUGAGAGGAUGAUCAGACACACUGGAACAGAGAAACGGUACAGACACCUACGGGAGGCAGCAGUGGGGAAUAUUGGACAAUGGGCGCAAGCCUGAUACAGGAAAACCGCGGGAGGGAAGAAGGACUUAGGGUUGUAAAGCCCUGAUGUUGGGAAAGAAAAGAAGCAGGUUAAUACCCGGCGGUAAUGACGGUACCGAAAGAAUAAGCACCGGCUAACUUCGUG